UCUGUCUAGGGCUUCAGCCAUCUCUCCAUCUUCUAGGUAUUGAGCCGGUCUCGGUCCGGGUCUUGUUAAUGGCAAUCUACUCCAUGAUUUAUAACAAUCUUCUUUUUUUCUUUUCGGUUAAUUAAUCUAAACGGUACAUCAAGAAUCCAUAAUAGGAUAGGAAAAUAUUCAUUCAUUACGGGUCAUAUUCGAAAUUGCGCCGGGCGUGACUCGCCGGUCGGUAUGGACCUAGCGAAUUGAUGAUAACUCGGAGAUUAAUCGACAAUUAAUUGAUGAUUAAUUUUUAAAAAUUUUCCAUAUAUAUAUAGAUAUAAAUAUAUAAUUUGUUAAGAAUAGACAACAAAUAUGUUGGCUCAGAUGGUUUGUAACUGAUGUAAUUAUGUAAUAGUCCAAGUUAAAAGCCCCAUCAGUGCUAUUUUCAUUUUUUUUUUCUUUUUUUCCUUUAAUGAAGGACAAAAUCGUAAUUUCUAUAUUAUCUCCCUCAUUUAACCUAACCAGUCUUGUGGUUUUCAAAACCAGCUGCCUCUUUCCUCUUAUGUUAUUUCAUUCUUUCAACAAGUUUAUACUUGAUUCUAUUAGUUUUUUCUUACAAAUCCGACUAAAACAAACCCGUUUUUGACAUAAAUUGAAAUAAAAAUGAAGUUUUAUUAGAAAUCCCGAUUUUAUGGUCGAGUAGAGCCACAUCGGGACGGUGGUCCUCCGCCUCACGUAAUUUUGCCGGAUACUCGGCCGCGUAGGGCGCGUUUUUGAACAUUUACAGGAUUGGAUCGUUAGAGCCUUCUUGGUGGAGGAGCAGAAGAUUGUGAAGAAGGUCUUGAAGCUUCAGAAGUCCAAGGAGAAGACUGCGCCUAAGAGCUAGAAAUAUUCUCUGUGGAGAGUUUUGGGAACGAAUGGUCUUGUAGGGGAGAGGAAUAGACAUGAGGAUGAUUCAACAGAUUUUUUUUUAAUGGCUUUUGAGUUCAAGAUUUUACUUUGUUAAGCGUGGUAUCUCGCUAGUAGUCUUUUUAAUAUCGAGAGACAGAGUUGCAAGCACCAGAAAUGUUCAAUACUAUAUGUACUUUCCAUGUUAUUAAGAAGAAGAGCUUUCAUCUGUU